AACGCGAAGAACCUUACCCAGGCUCGAAAUGCAGGUGGCGAUACCAGAGAUGGUAUUUUUCGUAAGGACGCCUGUAUAGGUGCUGCAUGGCUGUCGUCAGCUCGUGCCGUGAGGUGUUGGGUUAAGUCCCGCAACGAGCGCAACCCUUAUCAUUAGUUGCCAACACGCAAGGUGGGGACUCUAAUGAGACUGCCUAGGUUAACUAGGAGGAAGGUGAGGAUGACGUCAAGUCCGCAUGGCCUUUAUGUCUGGGGCUACACACGUGCUACAAUGGUCGGUACAGAAGGCAGCAAGACCGUAAGGUGGAGCAAAUCCGAAAAACCGAUCUCAGUUCAGAUUGUAGUCUGCAACUCGACUACAUGAAGCUGGAAUUGCUAGUAAUGACGUGUCAGCAACAACGUCGUGAAUACGUUCCCGGGCCUUGUA
rnacentral:rRNA from 1 species